GUUAGGAAUAUUGGACAAUGGGCGCAAGCCUGAUCCAGCCAUGCCGCGUGAACGAUGAAGGCCUUCGGGUUGUAAAGUUCUUUAGCCGAUGAUUAUAAUGACUGUAGUCGGAAAAUAAGCCCCGGCUAACUUCGUGCCAGCAGCCGCGGUAAUACGAAGGGGGCGAGCGUUAUUCGGAAUCACUGGGCGUAAAGCGUGCGUAGGCGGUCUCGUAAGUUAGGAGUGAAAGCCCAGGGCUCAACCUUGGAAUUGCUCUUAAAACUGCAAGGCUAGAAUCUCGGAGAGGAUAGCGGAAUUUCCAGUGUAGCAGUGAAAUGCGUAGAUAUUGGAAGGAACACCAGUGGCGUAAGCGGCUAUCUGGACGAGUAUUGACGCUGAGGCACGAAAGCGUGGGGAUCAAACAGGAUUAGAUACCCCUGUAGUCC
rnacentral:rRNA from 1 species